rnacentral:rRNA from 1 species
UGGGGAAUUUUGGACAAUGGGCGAAAGCCUGAUCCAGCAAUGCCGCGUGUGUGAAGAAGGCCUUCGGGUUGUAAAGCACUUUUGUCCGGAAAGAAAUCCUCUGGGUUAAUACCUCGGGGGGAUGACGGUACCGGAAGAAUAAGCACCGGCUAACUACGUGCCAGCAGCCGCGGUAAUACGUAGGGUGCAAGCGUUAAUCGGAAUUACUGGGCGUAAAGCGUGCGCAGGCGGUUUUGUAAGACGGAUGUGAAAUCCCCGGGCUUAACCUGGGAACUGCAUUCGUGACUGCAAGGCUAGAGUAUGGCAGAGGGGGGUAGAAUUCCACGUGUAGCAGUGAAAUGCGUAGAGAUGUGGAGGAAUACCGAUGGCGAAGGCAGCCCCCUGGGCCAAUACUGACGCUCAUGCACGAAAGCGUGGGGAGCAAACAGGAUUAGAUACCCUGGGUAGUCCACGCCCUAAACGAUGUCAACUAGUUGUUGGGGAA